ensembl:lncRNA
AUGGCUGCUACAUGCCAGAUUUGCGCGGGUCCCAUUGACCCGCCCGACCUUCACCAGUUCUGUGUCACCUGCCUGGGCCUCGCCCACGCGGAGGCGGCACUCACGGACGACACGUGCGCCCACUGCGCCGAGCUGCCAGUGCGCGCCCUCAGAGCCAGGAGAGAAGUGGCUCGGGCAACAGCAGGGAUGAGGCCCACUGCCGCCAGCGAGCCGCUGGUGGGCCCUCCCCCGCCCGAGGUCGAGUUCGACGACGUCAACUUCGCGGAAGUUAGCUUCCGCCCCCCCAACACCGUCGCGAACUUCGUCGCCUUCGAAGAAGCUGGCGAGGAAGACGACUCCAUGUCGCUCUCGGCGUCGGAAAAGGAUUGGGGGUCUCAGUCGGACCGCCCCGACCAAGAGGGCCCUGCAGACCUCCAGGAGGAGCUCGUCAGGGUCCUCAGCAAGGCCGUCACGGAGCUGGACCUCGCUUGGAACGCACCUGACGAGCCUGUGAAAAGUAAGCUGGACUCGUGGUUCCUCCAGUCGAGCCGCCGCCAGGCCGCAUCGAGGAGAAGAACCCCGUUCUUCCCAGACGUGCACGAGCACGUGGUGAAGUCGUGGGCUGCACCCCAAUCGGCGCGCACCCACUCUGCCACGCAGGCUAUGUUUGCACACGUGGACGGGGCGGAAGCCCACGGGUAUGUGCGCAUGCCCCCCGUCGAGGAGACUGUUGCCGCGCACCUGUGCCCGUCUUCCUCUGCGUUGGGUUCGGACCGCAGCCUGCCUUCCAAGCCGUGCAGAUUCACGGCCCACCAGGCGGACAAAGCCUAUGCUGCUGCAGGGGAGGCAGUUUCUGCUCUUCACGCUAUGGCUAUACUGCAGGUGUUCCAGGCGAAACUGCUUCAAUCCCUCGACGGCGGCGCAGUCGGCGCUGACGUCAUCAGGGAUCUGCGCGCGGCAACUGAUCUCGCGCUGAUGGCUACUAAGCGCUCUGCUCAAGCCAUCGGCCGUUCCAUGGGGUUCAUGGUCGUCCUUAACAGGCACCUGUGGCUUACCCUAGCUGACCUGAAGGAUGCAGACCGCAAGACGCUGUUAAACGCUCCAGUCACUCCCUCCGGCCUCUUUGGUGACGCCGUGGAGUCGGUCACGGAGCGUUUCUCCGAGACGCAGAAGCGCGCCAAGGCGAUGAGCCACGUGAUGCCCCGUCGCUCACUCCAGUCACCAUCUGCGAGGUCCCGCUCUUCUUCUGCGCCUCGCCAGGCUCAGGGACCGGCUAGACUCUCCGGACAUUACAGGACAAAACUCUUUCAAAUGCGUUCUCUUGCACCCCCCGCUGACAGAAAUUAUCCCAGUCCCGAAUUUUUUUUUUAUGUAGGAAUAGUAGUUUUACCUGCGAAAUUUGGGUUUUUCGCGGACAGUUUGCACUGCUGUAUUUUGAUUUACAGUCAUUGA